CCUACGGGAUGCAGCAGUGAGGAAUAUUGGUCAAUGGCCGGAAGGCUGAACCAGCCAUGCCGCGUGAAGGUCAGUGCCCUAUGUGCGUUCAACUUCUUUUGUGCUGGAGCAAUAAUGGUCAAGUGUGGCCAGACGCGAGUACCGUACGAAUAAGCAUCGGCUCACUCCGUGCCAGCAGCCGCGGUAAUAAGGGGGAUGCAAGCGUAAUCCGGAUUUAUAGGGUUUAAAGGGUGCGUAGGCGGUUGGUUAAGUCAGAGGUGAAAUCCCGAGGCUCAACUUCGGAAUUGCCUCUGAUACUGUUCGGCUAGAGAGUAGUUGCGGUAUGCGGAAUGUAUGGUGUAGCGGUGAAAUGCUUAGAGAUCAUACAGAACACCGAUUGCGAAGGCAGCUUACCAAGCUACUUCUGACGUUGAGGCACGAAAGCGUGGGGAGCAAACAGGAUUAGAUACCCGGGUAGUC
rnacentral:rRNA from 1 species